rnacentral:rRNA from 1 species
GGACGAACGCUGGCGGCGUGCUUAACACAUGCAAGUCGAACGGAAAGGCCCUGCUUUUGUGGGGUGCUCGAGUGGCGAACGGGUGAGUAACACGUGAGUAACCUGCCCUUGACUUUGGGAUAACUUCAGGAAACUGGGGCUAAUACCGGAUAGGAGCUCCUGCUGCAUGGUGGGGGUUGGAAAGUUUCGGCGGUUGGGGAUGGACUCGCGGCUUAUCAGCUUGUUGGUGGGGUAGUGGCUUACCAAGGCUUUGACGGGUAGCCGGCCUGAGAGGGUGACCGGCCACAUUGGGACUGAGAUACGGCCCAGACUCCUACGGGAGGCAGCAGUGGGGAAUAUUGCACAAUGGGCGGAAGCCUGAUGCAGCAACGCCGCGUGCGGGAUGACGGCCUUCGGGUUGUAAACCGCUUUCGCCUGUGACGAAGCGUGAGUGACGGUAAUGGGUAAAGAAGCACCGGCUAACUACGUGCCAGCAGCCGCGGUGAUACGUAGGGUGCGAGCGUUGUCCGGAUUUAUUGGGCGUAAAGGGCUCGUAGGUGGUUGAUCGCGUCGGAAGUGUAAUCUUGGGGCUUAACCCUGAGCGUGCUUUCGAUACGGGUUGACUUGAGGAAGGUAGGGGAGAAUGGAAUUCCUGGUGGAGCGGUGGAAUGCGCAGAUAUCAUGAGGAACACCAGUGGCGAAGGCGGUUCUCUGGGCCUUUCCUGACGCCUGAGGAGCGAAAAGCGUGGGGGAGCGAACAGGCUUAAAUACCCUGGUAGUCCACGCUGUAAACGGUGGGUACUAGGUGUGGGGUCCAUUCCACGGGGUUCCGUGCCGUAGCUAACGCUUUAAGUACCCCGCCUGGGGGAGUACGGCCGCAAGGCUAAAACUCAAAGGAAUUGACGGGGCCCCGCACAAGCGGCGGAGCAUGCGGAUUAAUUCGAUGCAACGCGUAGAACCUUACCUGGGUUUGACAUGGAUCGGGAGUGCUCAGAGAUGGGUGUGCCUCUUUUGGGGUCGGUUCACAGGUGGUGCAUGGCUGUCGUCAGCUCGUGUCGUGAGAUGUUGGGUUAAGUCCCGCAACGAGCGCAACCCUUGUUCACUGUUGCCAGCACGUUAUGGUGGGGACUCAGUGGAGACCGCCGGGGUCAACUCGGAGGAAGGUGGGGAUGACGUCAAGUCAUCAUGCCCCUUAUGUCCAGGGCUUCACGCAUGCUACAAUGGCUGGUACAGAGAGUGGCGAGCCUGUGAGGGUGAGGGAAUCUCGGAAAGCCGGUCUCAGUUCGGAUUGGGGUCUGCAACUCGACCUCAUGAAGUCGGAGUCGCUAGUAAUCGCAGAUCAGCAACGCUGCGGUGAAUACGUUCCCGGGGCUUGUACACACCGCCCGUCAAGUCAUGAAAGUUGGUAACACCCGAAGCCGGUGGCCUAACCGUUGUGGGGGAGCCGUCGAAGGU